CACCUUUACACAAUAACUGUGAUGACUAUACUAAUAGCAGGCAUGAUCUUAUUGCUUCCUUUCCUUCUUAAACUUGAGUCCUGGGUAUCAUCAUAAUCAACAUUCUAAAGCUUCCAACAUCUCAAUCCUAAAAAGUAAAUGAAAGCAUGGUCCAUAAAAUUCUCAGUUAACGUCUACAUGAAAAGCACUGAUCCAGGCACUAUGGACUAUAUAGAGCAGGGGUUGGCAAACCACAGCUAGUAUGUGGCCUGUUUUUCUACAGCUUGUGAGCUGGGGGAAGAGAUAGCUGUGUAGAUAUUUCCAUGUAUAUGCAGAUAGCUGUGUGGAUAUUUCCAUUUUCAUGCAGAUUGCGGUUUAGAUAUUUCC
rnacentral:lncRNA from 1 species